rnacentral:lncRNA from 1 species
AAUAGUAUCGCCACACGGCUAUACUUGGGUCUUUUGUUAAAACCUUUCUUUAAAAAUAUAGUAUGGCCGACCGGCUAUACUUGGUCCUUGGUAAAAAAAAAAUUUCUUUUUUAUUAAAUAGUAUAGCCGCUCGGCUAUACUAGUAUAUCUGGGAGGCUACACGGGCGACUUUUUUUAAGAAGUUUUUUUUUUAUAAAUAGUCUAGCCGCCGGGCUAUACGGGUCCAUUUUUUAAAUUUGUUUAAUAAUUAGUAUAGCCGGGCGGCUAUACAGGCGAACUUUUUUUUAAAAGAAAAGUCUAGCCGCCCGGCUAUUAGUGGGUCCUGUUUUAAAUUCUUUUAAAAUAAUUAUUGGAGACUUUUUUUUUAUUAUAUAUAAAUAAAUAAAUAUAGUAUAGCCGCUCGGCUAUACAUCAGUUUUUUUUUUUUUAAAUAAAAAAUUUGUUUUUAAUAAAUAUUAUAGCCGCGACUAUACUCAUGUUAAACUUCAUUGCGCAUAGAAAGGCUGAAACCGUUUGUGGGAUUGCUCAAAGUAUGCAUCUUUGAUUCUUUGAAUCCCUAAAAUUGGUCUAUUAUUUUGGGGAAAAUUGGGCUGGUCAAGCCCUUAAGACUAUUUAA